rnacentral:rRNA from 1 species
GAUGAACGCUGGCGGCGUGCCUAAUACAUGCAAGUAGAACGCUGAAGGAAGGAGCUUGCUCUUUCCGGAUGAGUUGCGAACGGGUGAGUAACGCGUAGGUAACCUGCCUGGUAGCGGGGGAUAACUAUUGGAAACGAUAGCUAAUACCGCAUAACAGUAGAUGUUGCAUGAUUUCUACUUAAAAGGUGCAAUUGCACCACUACCAGAUGGACCUGCGUUGUAUUAGCUAGUUGGUGAGGUAACGGCUCACCAAGGCGACGAUACAUAGCCGACCUGAGAGGGUGAUCGGCCACACUGGGACUGAGACACGGCCCAGACUCCUACGGGAGGCAGCAGUAGGGAAUCUUCGGCAAUGGACGGAAGUCUGACCGAGCAACGCCGCGUGAGUGAAGAAGGUUUUCGGAUCGUAAAGCUCUGUUGUUAGAGAAGAACGAGUGUGAGAGUGGAAAGUUCACACUGUGACGGUAUCUAACCAGAAAGGGACGGCUAACUACGUG